CCUACGGGGGGCAGCAGUGGGGAAUAUUGCACAAUGGACGAAAGUCUGAUGGAGCAACGCCGCGUGAGUGAAGAAGGGUUUCGGCUCGUAAAGCUCUGUUGGGAGUGAAGAAAGAUAGAGGUAGUAACUGGCCUUUAUUUGACGGUAAUUACUUAGAAAGUCACGGCUAACUACGUGCCAGCAGCCGCGGUAAUACGUAGGUGGCAAGCGUUGUCCGGAUUUAUUGGGCGUAAAGGGUGCGUAGACGGGAAAUUAAGUUAGUUGUGAAAUCCCUCGGCUCAACUGAGGAACUGCAACUAAAACUG
rnacentral:rRNA from 1 species